GUGUGAGAAUAUAGUGGCUCCAGGGCCAUGACCAGGAAAGUGAGGCCAGGUGGGAGAGAUGGGAUGACUCCCCUUCCCUAUGUGGUCUCCACUGUGAACUGGACCUGGAGGGCUGGAACCAGGAGCUGCCACGGAAGCAUAGGCAUGAGCAGCUGACAGGGGAGCCACGAACAGCCUGGAGAGCUGAGCAUGGGCCUGCUUCACGCUCCAGCGGGGCCCGAGGCCCCCAGGAACUCUACCCGUCCUGGCGGCCUCACAGAACCUGCUGCAUCCAUCUCAAUAGGCACACCUCCUCCAAGAAACCUUCCCCGCUGCUCAGAGGUCUUAAAUCCAGGGUUUGCACUCACAAACUGUGCAGCCUACACCAGCUUUCGAGGGACAGCAGAAUACUGUGGGGGGCCUGGCACAGUCCCUGGCACACAGUAGGCACUCAUCGAGCCCGUCAGCCCCUCUACUCCUGACUUCUGAGGCAACAGGAAAAGACCCACCACCUUGUUCUCACAGCAGAGCCUCCCUGCCAGCGCAGAUGGUCACAAGGGACUCCCGGGAUGCUGCCCACCUUGAGAGCCAGGCCCCUCCGGAGGGGCCAGUCUGGGCCUGACACCCCUGACCACCAACCCCCUGGGCAGAGCCUGCCUGUGCCUGGGUGAGGAACCCUGCAUUCUCCUUGCCACCCAAGGCUUGCAUCUGCCUUGGGGGCCCAGGCUCCACCCUCUCCGACCCCCAGGCCCACUGCUACCCCCAAUGCCUGACCUGUGCCCACCUGACUCAACCUGGCUACUGUUCAGCAAGUUUACAAAGUGUUCUCAGUCUGAACAGGAACCGUUUUCAAUCCUUUAUUUCAGAAAGGAGAGUCAGGAGAACUGGGGACUUAGAAAAUACAGAUCCUAAACUCAGAAGUCCCUGCCCCAGGCGUGCAGAGCCAGGGUCGUGGGGUUUUGUGCUGGGCAGGGGCUGCCCUGGGAGGGGGAUACAGGGGGAGGCACUUUAAGACAGCCCUUAGGCUGUGAAGGGUGUCAGCUGGGCCUCUGAAGCCAUUAACCUCUGGUUCCCAUCAUGGAGAGCCCUGUGUGGGGGACCCAAGGGGGCUUCCUCCUGGAAGGGCCCCCACCCCUAGUGUCAGAGAAGCUGGCACGAACUGAGGGAGUGAGGUGCCG